rnacentral:snoRNA from 1 species
ACACAAAUAGCUGAAGGUUAAUUAGUAGUAUAACUAAGUAGUUAUGCUGCCAAUAUCCUUCA